CCUACGGGUGGCUGCAGUGGGGAAUAUUGCACAAUGGGGGAAACCCUGAUGCAGCGACGCCGCGUGAGUGAAGAAGUAUCUCGGUACGGAAAGCUCUAUCAGCAGGGAAGAAAAUGAAGGUACCUGACUAAGAAGCCCCGGCUAAAUACGUGACAGCAGCCGCGGUAAUACGUGGGGGGCAAGCGGUAUCCGGAUUUACUGGGUGAUAAGGGAGCGUCGAUGGCAGAACAAGUCUGGAGUGGAAUCCCGGGGCUUAACCCCGGAACUGCUUUGGAAACUGUGCGGCUGGCGUGCAGGAGGGGUAAGCGGGAUUGCUAGUGUGACGGUGGAAUGCGUAGGUAUUAGGGGGAACACCGGUGGCGAAGGCGGCUUACUGGACUGUAACUGACGUUGAGACUAGAAAGCGUGGGGAGCAAACAGGAUUAGAUACCCUAGGUAGUC
rnacentral:rRNA from 1 species